AUUGAACGCUGGCGGCAUGCCUUACACAUGCAAGUCGAACGGCAGCGCGGGCUUCGGCCUGGCGGCGAGUGGCGAACGGGUGAGUAAUAUAUCGGAACGUACCCAAGAGUGGGGGAUAACGUAGCGAAAGUUACGCUAAUACCGCAUACGAUCUAAGGAUGAAAGCAGGGGAUCGCAAGACCUUGUGCUCCUGGAGCGGCCGAUAUCUGAUUAGCUAGUUGGUGGGGUAAAGGCCCACCAAGGCAACGAUCAGUAGCUGGUCUGAGAGGACGACCAGCCACACUGGAACUGAGACACGGUCCAGACUCCUACGGGAGGCAGCAGUAGGGAAUAUUGCACAAUGGAGGAAACUCUGAUGCAGCGACGCCGCGUGAGUGAUGAAGGCCUUCGGGUCGUAAAGCUCUGUCGUAUGGGACUAACAAAAUAGAAGGUACCAUGCAAGAAAGGAUACGGCUAACUUCGUGCCAGCAGCCGCGGUAA
rnacentral:rRNA from 1 species